ACCGGUACAUUUAUUUUUCGCUCUAGUAAAAACGACUUUCGGCUGACAACUCUAGCGCUUAGCGGCUGUCAAAUGGGACCGUAUUUCGUAGCAAUCAGCUGCUCGGCACGCAGCAACCCCUGGUUUAGCAGCACUUAGCUUUUUUCUGUCGCUCAUUUUGAUUGGAAAAUUGGCGGGACAAAUCCAGUUGGAAGUACCCACCAUAAAGAAGUAACAGAAAGUGCGAAUUCCGCGAAUUGGCAACGAAUUUACUUUGAAUUUGUUUAAAUAUCGUAACGACCUUGUCUAUUAUACCCGUUGUCCAAAAAUAAUACAUUGCGUUUUGAAUAUGCAUCAAAUGUAACAAAAAUUCAUUCUAAAGAAAACCGAAAACUUAUAAUUAAUUCAAAUGGAGAGCGAUUGCUUUAUAUUGAGAAGAUAUGAAAAUACUUUUGAAUUUGAUUGGAACUUUAUUCUACCAUUUGGAAUCUUUAAAUCGAAUUAUGUCCAGUGAAAUAUUAAAUGGCAUAAACUUAAACACAACAAAAAUGUUUUAUAAAUAUAUUAUUAUAAAAUAAAAAAAAUUAAAAAUAAAUGAAGUAACAGCGAAAGUUUUUAACAAAGUCAACAACAACACAAAAGAAGCAAGAAAAUCCUUAAGCGUAAUUUUUUUGUAUUUCAACAAUGCAACAACCACAACAACAACAACUACAUCUACAACAGAGGCAACAACUACAGCAGCAACAACAACCGCAUGAGCAACAACAGCAGCAACAACAACCACAACAACCAAAUGAAACAACAACUCAAGGCGGCUUUUCACGUGUGUGUGUGUGAACAACAACAACAACAACAUCAACAACAACAGCGACAACAAGCUAAAAACUUUAGAAAAACUUACAACAACUCUUUUUUGGACUUGGAGCAUUUUUCGAAAAACCAAAAAGCCUAAAGUAAAUACCGAAAACUUCCCGGCAAUUAUUUUGUGUUUGUUUUUCCCUCCUCAAACAAAAAAAAAAUACAAUUUCAUUUCAAAUAUAAAAACGCAAACAACUUAAACAAAAACAUGCUCUAAGGUUGUGUUAAAGGAAAGUUCUCCUAUUUUGCACCUUAAUUCUUUGAUUUCAACAAAAUUACAACAAUUUUUUCCAAGUGAAAAAUUUGUGCGAACCGCAAAAAAGCUGGAAAGUGGAAAUAAACAAAAUAUCAAGUCAAAUUCAAUUCAAUGCAAACAGCAAGUGCAACAACAACAACAACAACAACAACCACUAGAAAUUCACCCAAAACAACACCAACAACAAGAACAACUGCGGCAAAGCCAACAACAACACCAACAACAGGAAGAACGAGAACAAAGUUUUGAAACUGCGGUGUUUGGCG